GGUUGGUUGGAGUACAGUAGUGUUUACACAUAAUUAAUCACAACCAGUUACAGAUUCCUUUGUUCCUUCUCCACUCCUACUGCUUCACUUGACCGGCCUUUA
rnacentral:Y_RNA from 1 species